AGUGAGAUGGCAGAGAGGUUAAUGCGCUCCGCUGUAAACGGAGUCCGUGAAAACGGUCGAGAGUUCGAAUCUCUCUCUCACUA
rnacentral:tRNA from 6 species